rnacentral:rRNA from 1 species
UUCUCCGGACCCACCACGCUGAACACGCCUGAGCUUGUCUGAUCUCAGAAGCUAAGCAGGGUGGGGCCCCGUUAGUACUUGGACGGGGGUAU